rnacentral:tRNA from 1 species
ACCUGGGUGACUCAGUCAGUUAAGUGUCUGACUUUGGCUCAGGUCAUGAUCUCAUAGUUGUGGGUUCAAGACCCACAUCAGGCU